ACACACAUAGUAUAUACUGACUGUAUACUGACACACAUAGUAUAUACUGACUGUAUACUGACACACAUAGUAUAUAGACUGUAUACUGACACACAUAGUAUAUACUGACUGUAUACUGACACACAUAGUAUAUACUGACUGUAUACUGACACACAUAGUAUAUAUAUACUGUAUACUGACUGUAUACUGACACAUAGUAUAUACUGACUGUAUACUGACACACAUAGUGUGUAUAUAUACUGUAUACUGACACACAUAGUAUAUACUGACUGUAUACUGACACACAUAGUAUACACUCACUGUAUACUGACACACAUAGUAUAUAUUGAGACACACAGUAUAUAUACUGACUGUAUACUGACACACAUAGUAUAUAUACUGUAUACUGACACACAUAGUAUAUACUGACUGUAUACUGACACACAUAGUAUAUACUGACUGUAUACUGACACACAUAGUAUAUAC